rnacentral:misc_RNA from 1 species
GAUGAAGAACGUAGCGAAAUGCGAUACGUAAUGUGAAUUGCAGAAUUCAGUGAAUCAUCGAAUCUUUGAACGCACAUUGCGCCUGCCAGCACUCUGGCAGGCAUGCCUGUUCGAGCGUCAUUUCAACCAUCAAGCCCUAGGCUUGCGUUGGAGCCCUGCGGCUGCCGCAGGCCCCUAAAAGCAGUGGCGGGCUCGCUAUCACACCGAGUGCAGUAGAUUACUCUUCGCUCAGGGCGUGUGGCGGGUUCCAGACGUGAAACCCCCUACUUCUCAAGGUUGACCUCGGAUCAGGUAGGAAUACCCGCUGAACUUAAGCAUAUCAAUAAGCGGAGGA